AUUGAACGCUAGCGGCAGGCCUAACACAUGCAAGUCGAGGGGUAACUAGAGUGAUAGCAAUAUUACUUUGGCUAGACCGGCGCACGGGUGCGUAACACGUAUGCAACCUACCUUAUACUGGGGAAUAACUUCGAGAAAUCGGCGCUAAUACCCCAUAACAUUGCGAAGAGGCAUCUCUUUGCAAUUAAAGCUCCGGCGGUAUAAGAUGGGCAUGCGUCCAAUUAGCUAGUUGGUGAGGUAACGGCUCACCCAGGCUACGAUUGGUAGGGGUUCCGAGAGGAUGAUCCCCCACACUGGUACUGAGACACGGACCAGACUCCUACGGGAGGCAGCAGUGAGGAAUAUUGCGCAAUGGACGAAAGUCUGACGCAGCCAUGCCGCGUGCAGGAUGACGGCCCUAUGGGUUGUAAACUGCUUUUGUACGGGAAUAAACCCUUCUACGUGUAGGAGGCUGAAGGUACCGUAAGAAUAAGCACCGGCUAACUCCGUGCCAGCCGCCGCUGUAA
rnacentral:rRNA from 1 species